rnacentral:rRNA from 1 species
AAUGAACGCUGGCGGCAGGCCUAACACAUGCAAGUCGAACGGAUCCUUCGGGAUUAGUGGCGGACGGGUGAGUAACGCGUGGGAACGUGCCCUUUGGUUCGGAAUAGCCUCGGGAAACUGGGAGUAAUACCGGAUAAGCCCUUCGGGGGAAAGAUUUAUCGCCAAAGGAUCGGCCCGCGUUGGAUUAGGUAGUUGGUGGGGUAAUGGCCUACCAAGCCGACGAUCCAUAGCUGGUUUGAGAGGAUGAUCAGCCACACUGGGACUGAGACACGGCCCAGACUCCUACGGGAGGCAGCAGUGGGGAAUCUUAGACAAUGGGGGAAACCCUGAUCUAGCCAUGCCGCGUGAUCGAUGAAGGCCUUAGGGUUGUAAAGAUCUUUCAGUUGGGAAGAUAAUGACGGUACCAACAGAAGAAGCCCCGGCUAACUCCGUGCCAGCAGCCGCCGCUG